AGCGAACGCUGGCGGCAGGCCUAACACAUGCAAGUCGAACGAACCUUUCGGGGUUAGUGGCGGACGGGUGAGUAACACGUGGGAACGUGCCUUUAGGUUCGGAAUAACUCAGGGAAACUUGUGCUAAUACCGAAUGUGCCCUUCGGGGGAAAGAUUUAUCGCCUUUAGAGCGGCCCGCGUCUGAUUAGCUAGUUGGUUGAGGUAAUGGCUCACCAAGGCGACGAUCAGUAGCUGGUCUGAGAGGAUGAUCAGCCACAUUGGGACUGAGACACGGCCCAAACCCUUCCGGAGGGAGGCAGUGGGAAUCUUGCGCAAUGGGCGAAAGCCUGACGCAGCCAUGCCGCGUGAAUGAUGAAGGUCUUAGGAUUGUAAAAUUCUUUCACCGGGGACGAUAAUGACGGUACCCGGAGAAGAAGCCCCGGCUAACUUCGUG
rnacentral:rRNA from 1 species